UUCAAUGGUUUUAAACAGAUUCGGCUAAUUAAUUGUGAUGGUAAUAUAUAUAUAUAACAUAUAUAAAUCUUGGGAUAGACCAAGAAGCAAGCACGUACGUACCUCACUUUUUGUCCUCCUCCAUCCCGCAUCAAGACUGCAAAUUACUCAAAGAAGGUCACUGCAAAUUACUUAAAACGUGAAUACACCGUUUUAAGAAGUAGAAAAAGUCACAAGGAAAUCGUGGAAGCGAAAAACUUUUUUCCUCUUUUGUUUUAUCUUGGCCAUGGCCGUUUCUUUCAAGUCCCCAGCUUCUUUCAGUUGAAGAAGAGCCCUGACACCCAGUCUUUUAUCCGCUCUCCCUCUCAUAGAUUAGCAGUCUCAAGUACAAGAUUCACUCCAAUGGCUGCUGUUAGCACUAACCAAACCGUUGGGCUCUCUGAGACUUUCACAAGAUUGAGAAAACAAUGCAAGGACUUCACCAACAGCACACAGAGCAUCAAAAGCUAGCCAAGUAAGUAGAAAAGAUCGAUGUUUGGUUUUGUUUGUUAACAUGCUGACUACUCCUUCCACUGAAG